UACGUAGGGGGCGAGCGUUGUCCGGAUUUAUUGGGCGUAAAGAGCUCGUAGGCGGUUUGGUAAGUCGGGUGUGAAAUCUCCACGCUCAACGUGGAGGGGCCACUCGAUACUGCCAUGACUCGAGUCCGGUAGAGGAGUGUGGAAUUCCUGGUGUAGCGGUGAAAUGCGCAGAUAUCAGGAGGAACACCAGCGGCGAAGGCGGUGCUCUGGGCCGGUACUGACACUGAGGAGCGAAAGCGUGGGUAGCAAACAGG
rnacentral:rRNA from 1 species